GGUUAACUCAUUUGAGGUCUCUGAGCAGC
rnacentral:piRNA from 1 species